rnacentral:rRNA from 1 species
AAUGGACGUUGGCGGCGUGGAUUAGGCAUGCAAGUCGAGCGAGAACCCCGCAAGGGGGGACAGCGGCGAAAGGGACAGUAAUGUGUAGAUUCUCUGCCCUCAGGUCCGGGAUAGCUGCGGGAAACUGCAGGUAAUACCGGAUAACAUCUCCGGAUCAAAGGUGUGAUUCCGCCUGAGGAUGAGUCUGCCUCCUCUUAGCUAGUUGGUGGGGUAAUGGCCUACCAAGGCAUUGAUGGGUAGCAGGUGUGAGAGCACGACCUGCGUCAUUGGGACUGAGACACUGCACAGACACCUACGGGUGGCUGCAGUCGAGAGUCUGCGGCAAUGGGCGCAAGCCUGACCGAGCGACGCCGCGGGUGUGAUGAAGGCCAUCGGGUUGUAAACCACUGUCAGAGGGGAUGAAAUGCAGGUGGGUUCUCCCAUCUGUUUAACAUAGCCUCAGAGGAAGGACGGGCUAAGUUCGUG